AAGAGGAGAUUUUAGAUGUUUUUUGGUAGGUCGACAGAAAUAGCUCUUUGAGGUAAGAUGGGAGUAAGAAGAAAAGUUAGUGGGUUUUAGUUACUUAUUGUGAAAUGUAAAUUGCUCUCUUUUGUGUAAAGCACAUCAAGCAUGUAGCGUUUUAGUUACUUAUUGUGAAAUGUAAAUGCGAUUUUUGUCAAAGGGACAGCGAUGGGUUACAAGUUUUAGUUACUUAUUGUGAAAUGUAAAUUUACCACCAAAGUCCCUACACUCAAUACCACCAAAGCGUUUUAGUUACUUAUUGUGAAAUGUAAAUCGCUCUGACCUGUUCCUUGUGCAACACUCGUUACAGUUUUAGUUACUUAUUGUGA
rnacentral:sRNA from 19 species